rnacentral:sRNA from 1 species
GGUUCACGGCAAGGGUGGAACCGGAUUCUGCCUGGAUGGGGAUCUGGAUGGGGGUGGGGGGUUGAUUUGGGAAGCAGAGCACAGCAGCCCAAAUUUGCUUGUAAUGUCGGCGGCUGCAGAGGAAAGGCCAAGAAUGGACAUAUUAAUAAAGGGCCAUCUACAAGCCACGAAUAAGGCCAUCACCAGAAACCAACCCCGCCAGUCCUUGAUCUAGGACUUCCAGACUUCAAAACUGUUCCCAAGACAACCCGGAAGGGAAAAGGGACCCGUCAAGGAAGUUCCAGGAACAAAAGGCUCUCCCUAAAAGACCACCGCUUCAAAAAAAACCUGAGGAAUGGAGUGGGUCAACACUAUCCAGCCACUCUGACCAGUCGAAAGAGGAACUCCAUCAAAAUGCGCCACAGCAGGACCACAAGGGCAAGGAGACCACCACCUUCUCCAGUCUCUCUUUGGGCAGCCAGUAAUUCCCGGGCAAGGCCAGAGACUUCAAGGCUAUCUGAAAAGUCUCCAGAGGUCUAACCCCAGAUAAAUAGCCAACAGGGUGUAGAGUACAUUUUACACCCCAAAGGGUAUGCCCCAUGGUGAUGAAAAUAAAGUGAACAUGUUGCAAAAUGA